rnacentral:rRNA from 1 species
CAAUAGCGUAUAUUAAAGUUGUUGCAGUUAAAAAGCUCGUAGUUGAACCUUGGGUCUGGCUGGCCGGUCCGCCUCACCGCGAGUACUGGUCCGGCUGGACCUUUCCUUCUGGGGAACCUCAUGGCCUUCACUGGCUGUGGGGGGAACCAGGACUUUUACUGUGAAAAAAUUAGAGUGUUCAAAGCAGGCCUUUGCUCGAAUACAUUAGCAUGGAAUAAUAGAAUAGGACGUGUGGUUCUAUUUUGUUGGUUUCUAGGACCGCCGUAAUGAUUAAUAGGGAUAGUCGGGGGCGUCAGUAUUCAGCUGUCAGAGGUGAAAUUCUUGGAUUUGCUGAAGACUAACUACUGCGAAAGCAUUCGCCAAGGAUGUUUUCAUUAAUCAGGGAACGAAAGUUAGGGGAUCGAAGACGAUCAGAUACCGUCGUAGUCUUAACCAUAAACUAUGCCGACUAGGGAUCGGACGGGAUUCUAUAAUGACCCGUUCGGCACCUUACGAGAAAUCAAAGUUUUUGGGUUCUGGGGGGAGUAUGGUCGCAAGGCUGAAACUUAAAGAAAUUGACGGAAGGGCACCACAAGGCGUGGAGCCUGCGGCUUAAUUUGACUCAACACGGGGAAACUCACCAGGUCCAGACAAAAUAAGGAUUGACAGAUUGAGAGCUCUUUCUUGAUCUUUUGGAUGGUGGUGCAUGGCCGUUCUUAGUUGGUGGAGUGAUUUGUCUGCUUAAUUGCGAUAACGAACGAGACCUCGGCCCUUAAAUAGCCCGGUCCGCAUUUGCGGGCCGCUGGCUUCUUAGGGGGACUAUCGGCUCAAGCCGAUGGAAGUGCGC